UACGGAGGAUGCAAGCGUUAUCCGGAAUGAUUGGGCGUAAAGCGUCCGUAGGUGGCAAUUCAAGUCUGCCGUUAAAGACUAGGGCUUAACCCUGGAAAAGCGGUGGAAACUGAAUAGCUGGAGUGCGGUAGGGGUAGAGGGAAUUCCCAGUGUAGCGGUGAAAUGCGUAGAGAUUGGGAAGAACACCAGUGGCGAAGGCGCUCUACUGGACCUGCACUGACACUGAGGGACGAAAGCUAGGGGAGCGAAAGGG
rnacentral:rRNA from 1 species